GGGCCAUAGUUCUGUGGUGGAGCAUCUGUCUUGCAAGUAUAAGGUCCCAGGUUCAAUCUCUGGCAUCUCUA